CACCAAAGGAGGGCCUUGCCAAGUACACAGGCAACUGAAACAGGUGAUGUCAAUAAGCUGCCAAUAGUUAAGCUAAGGAAGGAAUAUUGCAGGUGAGCUAGAUGGACCAGUGGUCUGGCUUAAUAUACGUCAUGUCCUAUGCACCUAUGGAACUUCAGCAUAAGGACUUGCCAAUUUACUUUAAUGAAGGGAGAAGCUCCAGUCUCUCCAUUCUGUGGCUACGAAUGAGGAAGCCCUUGCAGACAUAAACAUUUAUUGUGUGCACUGGAACCCAGUAAAUGGAAAUAACUGUGGGACUGUGAUGACUGAUUCAAUUACCAAAGGGAAAAUGUUGUUUGUAUAAACACGCAGGAAGCCUGAUGCUUGGGUUUACUUUUGUCCACAGAUGUAUCACUGUACCAUGAUUUAGCUAAUAUUAAAAAUACACACAUAGCAAAGUCUUAAAGAGGUCACAGAUCAAUUAUGCCUUGAUCUGCUUUCUUCUGAACUAAGUCAGGAUGGGCAGGUAACCUGGAUCUGAGAUAGUAAUCUAUACUAGGGGCUUAGGUUCCUAUAGCAAACUAAUGCAACAACAUACUGAAGAGCCAUUUGCAAUAUCUCUGUGAUGCAGCCAAGCCAGCAUAUAAUGUGGAGUAAAUGUUGUUUAGUAAAAGAAUGAACACUGAUAAAUGUCUGGCCAUUAAGGUCAGCCCAUGGAGAAUGAAACAAGAAACUGCUGUGAAGAGGGAAAUAGAGGCGAGGGAGGAGGGAAAAGUUUAAAAUUCAGCACCAUGGACAGUAGCACUCACAUUUUGGUAUAAUGGAGUUUGCACAAAGCUUAAUUUUCAGUCUUACAUGCUGAAGCACCAUAAUACAACAGUUAUUUUAAGCCUCUUGGAGCUUUUCUAAACUCUUUGUGUGCCGAGUGCUUGCCACACGCCCACCUGUUUUCAAUGAUUUGGGCGGGGGGGGGGGUAGAGAAAUGGAAAGAAUUCUUUGCAAGAGCACUCAACAAAAUGACAGGUUUAAUAAUCUGCACUUAGACAGCACUUUUCAUCCAAGGGUCUCAGAGAUCUUUAUAAAUAUUCAUGCACUUUAUACAUAUUUUCAGCCAAUGUACCCUCCCUUUCCUCCAUCCCAAACAAGUAAAUAUACCCCAAUUCCCCUUUUGCAGAUCUGGAAAGGCAGACUCAAAAUUCAGGGAAAGUGAAAUUUAAAGGGCAACCCUCUGUAUAUCUAUUGAGCAGUAUGUCCCAUUGAGUUCAGUGGGACACUUGGUCACAGGCAAAUGUAUACAGGAUUGUAUCCUCAGAGUGACAAAGCAAUUCUUCUGGAGUCACAAUAAAGGGUCAGCUAUAAACAGAAACAGAAAUAGGGUGGGAGAUAAGAAAAUAGGCUUUUUCUUUUUACCAGUAGUUGGCAAUCAUUGGGACAUGUAGUGUGUAAUAUUGUGGCUUUUAUGUAAUGUCAGCAAUCAAUGCACAGUUUUAUCAGUAACUCUUUAUAGCAGACUUUAAUGUGCAGCUUUGAAAUCUUGUAGUUCUAGGUUGCAUAGGAAGCUGCUAUAUACAGUGUCAGAUUAUUUGUUCAUCUAGCUCGGCAUCUACUCUGACUGGCAGUGGCUCUACCAGGUUUCAGGCAGAGGUCUUUCUCAUUUCUGCUCCCUGAUCCUUUUAAACUGCAUAUAUCAUGGACUGAACUGGGCAUGUUUUGCAUGCAAAGUGUGUGCUGUGCCACUAAGCUGUCUUUCCUCAUAGCUUCAUUGCCUUCCAGUCUCUUUCCCAGCUCAAUUCAAAGUGCUUUUCAUUAUUUUUAAAUCCCUAAACAGCUUAUAGCCAGGAUACUUAAAGGACCAUCACCUCCUACAUUAGCCUGCUGGUCCAUGCAAUGAGCUAGGAGACCCUAUAUGCACUGCUGUCAUCUGAUGUUUCGGAGUUGGGAACACAUGAAAGGGUAUUCUCUGUUGUUGCACCCUUCCCUGGGGGAUCCUUGGUGAUUUAUGUUUCAUCAGGUCAUUGACCUGAUUGAUAAUUGACCCUGGCUCCUUUAUGCACUGACUGAUCCAUUUAUCUGUUAUGCUUAUGUUUUCUAAGAGAGCACUGCAUAAGCGGUAAGACUGUCACACAAUUAAAUAGUUGGUUAAACACAUUAGUCAAAUUGGUCAACAGAUUAAAUGUGUACAAAUCUGCAUGUGCAUAAGUCCCAUGAUUUGUAAAUAAAAUGCGUUCUGAAUCAAUCUACUCAGAAGUAAGCCCAACUAGUUUCAAUGGGACUACAGCGUAAUCUGCAGAACUGCAAGUAUGCAAGUGCUCAGAGUGUUGCCUUCCCUUGGUGGUCAGACAGAAUCAUCACCAUCCUUUCUCCUUUCCAGGCUGACUCCUCCAAAAGCAAGACAAGGACCAGCAAUGGCACUCACACACACAAAAGUUCUAAGCCUCCAUGCCUGCAACUAAGUCAUACUCCCAGUUCUGUCAAGAAGAAGAAGAAGAGUUUGGAUUUGAUAUCCCGUCUUUCACUCCCUUUAAAGAGUCUCAAAGCGGCUCACAUUCUCCUUUCCCUUCCUCCAACAAACACUCUGUGAGGUGAGUGAGGCUGAGAGACUUCAGAGAAGUGUGACUGGCCCAAGGUCACCCAGCAGCUGCAUGUGGAGGAGCGGGGAAUCGAACCCGGUUCCCCAGAUUACGAGACUACCGCUCUUAACCACUACACCAUGCUAGCAACUGAGGAGUGGGCGGAAGAGAGAGGAAAAUGGAAGAUACCAAGAUGAGAGUGGGGGAAAUGGAAAAGGCUUCUUCUAAGAAGAUAUCCAAUUAAUUUGGAGAGAUUUGUAAUCAUUUCGAACAAGCAAAAGUAAUCAUUUAGACCAGAUGUUUUGGACUGCAACUCCCAUUACCUCCAACCAGGAUGUCUGUGCUGGCUGGGGAUGAUAGGAGUUGUAGUCCAAGACAUCUGGAGAGCAUCAGGAUGGCAAAGCCAUUUGAUCAAUUGAUUAAACAUCACAGCCCUAAUGAUAAUUUAUCCCUUUCCUUUGCUGGUAAUAUUGUGAUUAGGAUAUAUCAAUUCAGCACUAAGAAAAACCUGUUUAGGCAUGCACUCACAGCCUUGUUGACUUAAUCCUAGAAAUUCCUGUGAACAGAUUAUUAUUAAUUAGAAUUUAUCGACAGCCUCUUUAUUCCAAGUGGUAUCUUUAAAUUAAGCCAGUUUCAGAAUACCUAACUCUCUGGGCUAUAUUUUCUAUCUCCUUCAGUAUCAGGAUAAAUUCCCAAGGGAGAAAUAGAAUUGUUUCUUACAGUGAACAGGAUAGGAAAGGACGGCACUCAGAGACAGUGGCACUGUUUAAUCAGAUGCAGCAGACUUCUAACUUACUAUGGAAAAGGUGCACAGCCUUGCACAAUUCACUAUCUCUAAACCCUUAGUUCCCCAUCUGGAAAAUGAGAGUAAAAGUGACCUGCAUUACUAUUUUGUUGUAAAGUCAAGCAGGCCACAAUCCACUGGGAAGUUGUUCUGCACAAGUCCCCUUCCAAAAACAUUGUACGGUGACAUUGUGCAGCUCCUAUUUAUUUCAAUGAAAUUUGCACAGAGGAGUCCCUGGUGGAUUGUGCCCACGGGGUGUGUGUGUUAUGCACAUUAAAAAGUGUCAUGGGCCUGGAAAGGAUGUGAAAGCCACAUAAAUGCAUCCUCGGGGCAAAAUGGCAGAACAACGAAAGCUUUGAUGGAUUUAUGCUGUGAAACAAACUCUUUAACAUUCACUGUUCUUCACAAAAGCUACCCUUCAACGUGGACUUUGUCUCUGCUGCCUUGCCUAAGGCAGGCUGCCCAGCUUUUAUCCAUUAAUGUUCAUUGCAGAAUCUCAACCCCUUUAAGAAGUGGCAGAGAGCUUGUAAAUCCUGCCAUCCGAUGAGCUGUGCUGUUGCAGUGUGUCAACUCAAUGUGUGGAAGGGAAAACAGAUGUGCUAAGUAGAGGGUGGGUUUUUUUCUCCUUGUUUACUGUGUGGUUUAUCUCCUCUUCAGUCUUCCUCUUUCUGUUUAAAUAUUUGAUGUCAUUUUGUUUAUUUCUGUGACAAAUGAUUUGGGGUUUCAUUUCCAGAAACAGAAAAGUGUCAGCAAUGCCAGCAUUGCUGGGGCAUCUGUUCCUUGCUAUUAAUUAGUCCCUUUCCCUGCUUGCUUGCCUCCUAAAAACAGAGAUGCCUACAUCAUGUAACUGUCAUUUAUUUGUAGCAGCAGAUCCAUUUCCUUGAGACUGUCUCUCUGGCUGCUUUUCAGUGCCUACUUGUGUCCAGUCUCAGUGAAAAGUUUGUGGAAUUUGAAGCCACAAGAUGUGAUGGUGCUCACAAGCUUAAAAAUGGACUUCGAUAGAUGCACCAAGGAUAACCAAGCAAUCUGCUGGUUGGGAAUCUGAAGGCCCUGGGCUUCAUCCCGGUCCACCAACAAUAGUUCUCUAGCACCCAAACCAUUGGAACAUAGGAAGCUGCAGUGUACUGAGUGGGAAUAUUGGUCCACCUAACUCAGUGUCAUCUUGUAGCAGCUCUCCAGUAUUUAAGACAGAGACUCCCUCCCUGGCUUACAGAUAUUGAACCUGGGACCUUCUCAAUGCAAAGUAGAUGCUCUAUCACUUAAGUACAGCCCUUACCCAAUUGUUUUUUGGAGGUCACAAAAAGCAUGUUAGGGGUUGUGAUUAUGUUCCUACUUCAUUCCUUCCCACUGGAAUUAGUUAGAAGGAAAUUACUUACACAAGGGCAGGCGCGUGGCAUGUUUUGGGUGACCUCAUGGAAUGCAGAGCAGGUAGGAUUCGAUGUAGAUGUGCUCCUCCCCUGUGCCAUCCAUGCCCACUCACAAUGCUUCUGUAUUUUCAGGGAUUUACAGGGUGGCCUAGCUGGCAGAGCCUUUGUGUAGCAUACAGAGACAAUUCUAUAGGUGGGGUGGGUUUGAAUUCCAGAAAUUCUCUGCCUCAUCCUAACACCCUUCACUUGAUGGAGCAUUGAAUGUAGGAUUGCACCCUAAGGCCAUAAAUGACUACUAGCCAUAAUAUAGCGCCUCCAGGUUUGGGGGAGGUAUAGCCAUCAAUAUAGCUUGCAACAGGAGAAGAAGGCAAUUGUCUUCAUGUUCAGCUUGUGAACAUUCUAGAUGAAUCUGACUGGCCAGUAUCAGAAACAGGGUACUGGAUUAAAUGGACCUUUAGUCCACCCUAGCAGGGUUCUUCUUAUGUACAAAGGAAAGUCAUUACUGUAACUGGCUUUAAAUAAGGCUGGAGCAGUGUUUUUUCAAAGGUUGAUUUCUUGUUAAUGAUUAAAGUAAUUACCCCAUUUUAUGAACACUUCUAGGGCUUUCAGCUGGCAAGUGGUCAUCAUCUUGAAGAUAAUAAAAUCCAAUUUGUUUGCUUAUUAAAAGCAUUUAUAUCCUGUCUUUCCAUUCCCAAAAGGGCUCUCCAGGCAACUAACAGCCACCUUAAAAUAUACCAUAAAAUUUAAAAAAAAGAAAUCCGAAACAGUAGCAUUAAUACCAAAUUAUCAGCAACAGGCAAAAUGUAAACAAUUUAAUAUAAAAUUAUCCAGACUAAUGCAUGUCUGAGUAGCAGCAUCUGUCCUCUAAAGCAGGGGUGGCAAACCAUUUUACACUCAAGGGCUGAAUUCCCUUCUGGAAAGCCUUCCAAGGGCCACACACCACAGACAAUAGUGAGAGUAACGAAUGUAAAUUUACCUUUGUGCAGUAGGGUAGUUUCUAUCCACAAGUAUAUAUCCCUCUCUCCUCAUCCAGACAAGUAAGAGGCAUUAACAGAGUUCAAUGACACAUUCUAGCCAGGCAAGAACACUUUGGGUUCCCUACCCCUACUCUAAAGACAUCGAGGGAGAACAUUAACUAGGCGUCCUGUGACAAGGAAUUGCAUAGCUACCUGAAGCACUUCAGAUGGUGAGACACAAAGCAGGGCUUCCACUAAGCCACUGACCUAAGCAGUCAGGUCAACUUAAAGUUAUCAGCACCAGCAUUUAUUGACAUCAGACAAGAAUUCCAUUCUAUGGCCACAUUGACACCACACCUUUAAAGCACUAUGAUACCACUUUAAGCAGUUGUGGCUUCCCCCAAAAUAGUUCUGGGAGCUGUAGUUUAUUAAGGGUGCUGAGAAUUGUUACGAGAUACAUUUUCCCUAAAAACCCUAAUUCAGGAUUGGGGAGCCUGGGUGUCACUGGACACCCAGUGUCACUGGACUACAACUCCCAUAACCCCUAGCUAUUGGCCAUGAUGGCUGGGGUUUAUGGGAGUUGUAGUCAAAAAUGUCUGGCAGGCCAUGUGUUCUCCAACCCUGCACAAAACAGACUGGGUUCUGGGUAUGUUAAGGACAAUUUUUUCUUAUAUGAAACUGCCUGACAACUCUGUCCUGCCAUUUCUCUGCCCUUCUCAGCAGGUAUGCACAAGAGACAGAGCCCUUUCUGCUAUGAUGCCCAAACAAUGGAAUAGUUUCCCCAAAGAGGUACACCUAGCCCUGCCUUCCUCUUCUUGACAGACAGUGUGUUGUCCCAGCGAGCUCCUUAGAAUUGCUGCCAUACUAAAUAUUGUAUACUGAAUCUGCUGUAAUUUAUUAUUUUAUGUUGUUUUUACGGUGCUUGGACUGUGCAUAUUGUAAGAUACCUUGGCUAUAUUGUGUGCAGAAAGGUGAGAUGCAAAUCCCUGGAAGGAAGGAACAAUGGGUGGAGGCAAGGCAGUAGGACAGAGCUAGGUGAGAAUCAGUAUUACAUCUUGUGUAAAUGUCCCCCAUUUCCCACCCUGUCCUUCAAGACCUUAUUCCGCAUCCAAACAUGCAACCCCAAUGUAUUUUGUGGACCUUUUGCUUAAGGGGAUUAUAAAAAUACCACUCAGGCCUUUUCAAGUGAGGCAUCCUCUACUAACCAAGUGUGAGUUUCUCAGCUCUUUGUGGGGUAUGGUAGGAACUACGCUACAAGCAAGCAUUAGUCAUAUGGGAUCCCUUCCUACUCUACCUACAGAGCAGAUUUUACUGAGGGCUAGUAAAGACAAUUGCACGUAAAGAAAAAGAACAAACCUUCUGGCAUUAACAGCUGCAGAACUGAGUCAGUGGAAUCACACAGAAACACACUUUUUUAAAAAAAACCACAGUCCCACACUGUUAUAUAAGUUGCUGAAGGCUGCAAAUGUUAACCAGAAAGUUGAGGGGCUCUAGGAUAUUACAUUAAAAUUCAAACUUUUAUACUCAUGAGGACAAAGUAUCUGAUUAGGAGAUGCCCAUGUGGAAGAUUCAUUAAUGACUAAGAGAUUCAUUUUACUAGGGUUCAUCCACACUUCCAGUUGUGCCCUGCAUAGAAAGCACUGGUCCGAGAGGCUUUCCUCUUGAUGCGCAUUUUCUAGGCCUGAGUUUGAGUGGUUUUCCCUUUGCCCCGUUCCUUUCCAAAGGAAAACCCAUUCUUUAGUGAUAGAUCAUAACAAAUGGCCAUCUGGGAGAAAUCCAAAUUGCUGCUUGCUCCAAUUGAGUGGUAAAGAGUGGUAUUCCCCAGGGGAG
rnacentral:lncRNA from 1 species